rnacentral:rRNA from 1 species
UACAGAGGGUGCAAGCGUUGUUCGGAAUUACUGGGCGUAAAGCGCGUGUAGGUGGCGAUGUAAGUCGGGUGUGAAAUCCCUCAGCUUAACUGAGGAAGUGCACUCGAUACUGUGUCGCUUGAGUGUUGGAGGGGAUGGCGGAAUUCCCGGUGUAGAGGUGAAAUUCGUAGAUAUCGGGAGGAACACCUGUGGCGAAGGCGGCCAUCUGGACAACUACUGACACUGAGACGCGAAAUCGUGGGUAGCAAACAGG